UGGUUUCUUCUGAAUCAAACUGUGGUUGCU
rnacentral:piRNA from 1 species